rnacentral:rRNA from 1 species
GACGAACGCUGGCGGCGUGCUUAACACAUGCAAGUCGAACGCUGAAGCUCAGCUUUUGUUGGGUGGAUGAGUGGCGAACGGGUGAGUAACACGUGAGUAACCUGCCUCCUUCUUUGGGAUAACGCCCGGAAACGGGUGCUAAUACUGGAUAUUCACUGGUCUUCGCAUGGGGGUUGGUGGAAAGGGUUUUUCUGGUGGGGGAUGGGCUCGCGGCCUAUCAGCUUGUUGGUGGGGUGAUGGCCUACCAAGGCUUUGACGGGUAGCCGGCCUGAGAGGGGGACCGGUAACAUGGGGACUGAGAUACGGCCCAGACUCCUACGGGAGGCAGCAGUGGGGAAUAUUGCACAAUGGGCGCAAGCCUGAUGCAGCGACGCCGCGUGAGGGAUGGAGGCCUUCGGGUUGUGAACCUCUUUCGCUCAUGGUCAAGCCGCAACAAUGGUUGUGGUGAGGGUAGUGGGUAAAGAAGCGCCGGCUAACUACGUG